rnacentral:rRNA from 1 species
GACGAACCGUGCGAACGUUGUUCGGAUUCACUGGGCUUAAAGGGCGCGUAGGCGGGCGUUCAAGUCUGGGGUGAAAUCCUCCGGCUCAACCGGAGAACAGCCCCCGAUACUGGACGCCUCGAGGGAGGUAGGGGUCGAGGGAACUUCCGGUGGAGCGGUGAAAUGCGUAGAUAUCGGAAGGAACGCCGGUGGCGAAAGCGCUCGACUGGACCUCUUCUGACGCUGAGGCGCGAAAGCCAGGGGAGCGAACGGG